AUUUAAGGAAUAGCGCCUGAUCUGUAAAAACAGAUGACGAGGAUAGGUUUUAUCGAAAUAUUCGGCGGAUGGCCCUAGGGACUGCACUCUACAGAAUAAAAAAAACUAUCUGUGAAGGUAGAACAAAUAAUAUUCAUGCAGCUGG
rfam:Enterococcus villorum ATCC 700913 genomic scaffold acvIF-supercont1.8, whole genome shotgun sequence.